CAGUAGCCGCGGGAAUACGAAGGGGGCUAGCGUUGUUCGGAAUCACUGGGCGUAAAGGGUGCGUAGGCGGGAUCUUAAGUCAGGGGUGAAAUCCCGAGGCUCAACCUCGGAACUGCCUUUGAUACUGGGGUCCUUGAGUCCGGAAGAGGUGAGUGGAACUGCGAGUGUAGAGGUGAAAUUCGUAGAUAUUUGCAAGAACACCGGUGGCGAAGGCGGCUCACUGGUCCGGAACUGACGCUGAGGCACGACAGCGUGGGGAGCAAACAGGAUUAGAUACCCCUGUAGUCCCUGUCUCUUAUAC
rnacentral:rRNA from 1 species